CCUACGGGGGGCAGCAGUGGGGAAUAUUGCGCAAUGGGCGAAAGCCUGACGCAGCGACGCCGCGUGAGGGAUGAAGGUCUUCGGAUCGUAAACCUCUGUCAGCAGGGAAGAACGGUCACUGUGCUAAUCAGCAGUGAAUUGACGGUACCUGCAAAGGCAGCACCGGCUAACUCCGUGCCAGCAGCCGCGGUAAUACGGAGGGUGCGAGCGUUAAUCGGAAUUACUGGGCGUAAAGCGCUCGUAGGCGGUAUGUCAAGUCAAGGGGGAAAUCCACGCGCUCAACGUGGGAACUGCAUUUGAAACAGGAAAACAGGCGGGUGGGAGAGGAGAGUGGAAUUCCAGGUGUAGGAGUGAAAUCCGAAGAUAUCGGGAGGAAGAGCAGUGGAGAAGGGGACUAUCUGGAACAUAACGGACGCUGGGGAGCGAAAGCGUGGGUAGAAAACAGGAUGAGAUACCCGAGUAGUC
rnacentral:rRNA from 1 species